AUGAUUGUUGAAUAUUCAGCUGCAGGGGAAUCGUGGUGUGAAGUGGCUGUGAUGAUAUGCAGAAGAUUGAAGGUUGAAGUUGCGGUGAUGGAGAUUCCUGAUGUUGUUGGAGGAGCUUGGAGGAGGUCAGGGUGUACGAAGAUGAAGUUGAAUGUAAGGGAUUGCUUGAUACAUAAGAAGCUUGGCGCAAGACUUGGGAUAGGGAGAAAGAAAAGCUCAAAACAAAGUCAUGGAAAUUAUUUGAAACAACGAAAUCGUGAUGGAAUUUAG